GACGAACGCUGGCGGCGUGCUUAACACAUGCAAGUCGAACGAUGAACCGGUUUCGGCCGGGGAUUAGUGGCGAACGGGUGAGUAACACGUGGGCAAUCUGCCCUGCACUCUGGGAUAAGCCCGGGAAACUGGGUCUAAUACCGGAUACGACACUCCGAGGCAUCUUGGGGUGUGGAAAGUUCCGGCGGUGCAGGAUGAGCCCGCGGCCUAUCAGCUUGUUGGUGGGGUAAUGGCCUACCAAGGCGACGACGGGUAGCCGACCUGAGAGGGUGACCGGCCACACUGGGACUGAGACACGGCCCAGACUCCUACGGGAGGCAGCAGUGGGGAAUAUUGCACAAUGGGCGAAAGCCUGAUGCAGCGACGCCGCGUGAGGGAUGACGGCCUUCGGGUUGUAAACCUCUUUCAGCAGGGAAGAAGCGAAAGUGACGGUACCUGCAGAAGAAGCACCGGCUAACUACGUG
rnacentral:rRNA from 1 species